rnacentral:rRNA from 1 species
GAAAGUUGAAAAGAACUUUGAAGAGAGAGUUCAAUAGUACGUGAGACCGCUUAGAGGUAAACGGAUGGGACCGCAAGGCUCCCCUCGGAAUUCAACCUUCCGUUCGUCGUUCGGCGGCGCGUCGUGAUCCUUCGGACGCGCGUGACUGUCCGAUUCGGCGUCGGGGGGCGCACUUUCCUUGGGACUAUCGUCAGGACCGGUUCGUGCGGUGGCCAGAAGCCGCCGGGGGCAAGGUAGCCGUCUUCGGACGGUGCUUAGGCCCUCGCGGUGGGCUGCACCCGCGGACCGAGGAACACCCGCCGUGGCACGGGCCCCCCUCGCUCAGCGUCGUCUCGACUUGCGUGGACUGUUUGCAGUGCUCGCAGACCGCCGGCGCUGCCAGUGGAGAGGAUCUCCGGUGUCGACACCCAGGGUCUCUGGCUAAUCGGUCGGCACCCCAUCCGACCCGUCUUGAAACACGUACCAAGGAGUCUAACAUGUGCGCGAGUCACUGGGCGGCAAACCCAAGGGCGCAAUGAAAGUAAAGUUCGGCCUCCGGUCGAGCCAGGUAGGAUCCUCGUCCGUUGGGACGGGGCGCACUACCAGCCCGUCUCGAUCUCUCGCAGGCGAGGCGGAGCAGGAGCGUACACGUUGGGACCCCAAAGA